GUAAGCUGCGCCGCCUAUACUGGCAGUCGUAGCGGGUAACGAAGCAAUACGCUGACGACCGGCAAACGGGUGCGGAACACGUACACAACCUUCCUUUUAGUGGGGAAUAGCCCAGAGAAAUUUGGAUUAAUACCCCGUAACAUAAUGGUGUGGCAUCACAUUGUUAUUAUAGGUUUACCGCUAAGAGAUGGGUGUGCGGCUGAUUAGGUAGUUGGCGGAGUAACAGCCCACCAAGCCAACGAUCAGUAGCUGAUGUGAGAGCAUGAUCAGCCACACGGGCACUGAGACACGGGCCCGACUCCUACGGGAGGCAGCAGUAAGGAAUAUUGGACAAUGGACGCAAGUCUGAUCCAGCCAUGCCGCGUGAAGGAUUAAGGCCCUCUGGGUUGUAAACUUCUUUUAUAGGGGACGAAAAAAGGGCUUUCUAGCUCGACUGACGGUACCCUAUGAAUAAGCACCGGCUAACUCCGUGCCAGCAGCCGCGGUAAUACGGAGGGUGCAAGCGUUAUCCGGAUUCACUGGGUUUAAAGGGUGCGUAGGCGGGCAGUUAAGUCAGUGGUGAAAUCUUCGAGCUCAACUCGGAAACUGCCAUUGAUACUAUCUGUCUUGAAUAUUGUGGAGGUGAGCGGAAUAUGUCAUGUAGCGGUGAAAUGCUUAUAUAUGACAUACAACACCAUUGCGUAGGCAGCUCGCUACACAAAUAUUGACGCUGAGGCACGAAAGCGUGGGGAUCAAACAGGAUUAUAUACCCUGGUAGUCCACGCCCUAAACUAUGAUUACUCGACAUAUGCGAUACACUGU
rnacentral:rRNA from 1 species